rnacentral:rRNA from 1 species
UACAGAGGGGGCUAGCGUUGCUCGGAAUCACUGGGCGUAAAGCGCACGUAGGCGGGUCUUUAAGUCAGGGGUGAAAUCCUGGAGCUCAACUCCAGAACUGCCUUUGAUACUGAGGAUCUCGAGUCCGGGAGAGGUGAGUGGAACUCCGAGUGUAGAGGUGAAAUUCGUAGAUAUUCGGAAGAACACCAGUGGCGAAGGCGGCUCACUGGCCCGGUACUGACGCUGAUGUGCGAAAGCGUGGGGAGCAAACAGG